UACGUAGGAGGCGAGCGUUGUCCGGAAUUACUGGGCGUAAAGAGCGCGUAGACGGUUCUGUAAGUCGGGUGUGAAAUCCCCGGGCUCAACCUGGGAAUUGCAUUCGAGACUGCAGAGCUAGGGUGCGGAAGAGGGAAGCGGAAUUUCCGGUGUAGCGGUGAAAUGCGUAGAUAUCGGAAGGAACAUCAGUGGCGAAAGCGGCUUCCUGGUCCAGCACCGACGUUCAGGCACGAAAGCGUGGGGAGCAAACAGG
rnacentral:rRNA from 1 species